UUAUGGUCAUAUCAAGAUGAAACCCUCACUUCCCGUAUGAUCAUAGAACUUAAGCAACGUCGAGUCUGGUCAGUACCUAGAUGGGUAACUGCUUUGGAAUACCAGGUACUGUAAG